AAGAGAGACGAGGCAGACAUGAGAGCCGCCGUCACAGCCACCUUCCUGUAGGAGAACCUUGUGCUAAGAGGUCCUGCCCAAGGCCCUGUCACGUCCCAUGGGAGUAGAUCGUCGCGAGGUUAAAAAGCACGUCAAACAAAAUUACGAGGAAGAUGGCGCCACAUUCGACCCGCCCGACUGACCUGCAAGAUUCCACACCAUGGACUGGCAGUUGAAGAGCCAGGCCGCGAGAGAAGGGGGGGCGUUCAUUUCGCGGAGUUUGUUUCCGAAAAG